UGCCAGCCGCCGCGGUAAUACGGAGGGUGCAAGCGUUAAUCGGAAUUACUGGGCGUAAAGCGCGCGUAGGCGGCGUAACAAGUGUCGGGUGAAAUCCCACGGCUCACCCGUGGAACUGCCAGGCAAACUGUUAUGCUAGAGUGUGGUAGGGGAGAACAGAACUCAUGGUGGAGCGGUGAAAUGCGUAGAUAUCAUGAGGAAUACCGGUGGCGAAGGCGGUUCUCUGGUCCACAACUGACGCUGAGGUGCGAAAGCUAGGGUAGCGAACGGGAUUAGAUA
rnacentral:rRNA from 1 species